rnacentral:lncRNA from 1 species
UUUAUGUCCCUCUGACCCAAGAAGUUAAUCUAGGCUCUGCGAGAGCAUCCUCAGUAGGUGGUAUGUAAGCAUUUGCAUAGAACUCCAACAUUGUCUCCUUAGCCAUUGGUUGGAUCCGACUAUUUAGAUAAGUCAGUUUAUUCUUCUUGAGGAUAACAUGUAUAUCAUGGUGUUGGUUAGGAUGAAGGUUGAAGACUCUCUCCUUAAUUAUUUUCCUAUCUAGCAAGGACAAGUAUCUUUCUUCUUGCUCAUCAGAGAAGAACAUGUUAGAGUCAUGUGAUGAAGAAGAAGAAGUAGCCAUUUGUUGCGUACUUAAGGAGAUAUGGCUUGUAGCAGAUGAAAU